GAAAUGGCCUGCCUCUGACCUGCUGUUCACAAAGCCCCCAGCCUCGUCCUUUUGCGCGCAUCUGGGACCCCUGCGUCCCACAGAACAACGACACCCCCUCAGAACCGCACUCUCAGGAUGGGCCCGGCUGUCCCGUGAAGGCCUCCAUUGCCCGGGAUUUUGGCCUGGCUGAAUCGCCUCAGGGACUACAGAGCACGUGCUGGAGGCAAUUAAUUAUCGGAAUGUGGCCGUAUCAAAACGGACACUGGGCACCGGCUGCCGACAGGUUGGGAGCACAAACGGCGAACUAUCCCGGCCUGGGUCCCGGCCUCGAGGCCAUCACAACUCGCAGUGAUUGGAGGUGGACGCAGCGGCUGGACCGGGAGCGCGAAACUGCUGCGCUCUCCCCAGGAUCUGCGCCCUGCAGCUACAGAGGGGACAUGUUCUCAAGGAGACUCUUGCAGUGACGGAAAGUUGCAGCCCCUGGUAGCGCCUUGGGGGUCUCUCCGCAGUGUCCAACCGCCGCCACCCCUUUCCGACUACGGCACUUCGGAGAUCUCCUCCUUCGCCGGUACCCUCUCUCACUUCGGCCGGAUCGCCUGUGCCCAGAACGUCCCACCCAUGACGAUGCUCCUGGACGGAGGCCCGCAGUUCCCUGGGCUGGGAGUGGGCAGCUUCGGCGCGCCGCGCCACCACGAGAUGCCCAACCGUGAGCCGGCAGGCAUGGGGCUGAAUCCCUUCGGGGACUCAACCCACGCCGCCGCCGCCGCCGCCGCCGCUGCCUUCAAGCUGAGCCCUGCCGCGGCGCACGAUCUAUCUUCAGGCCAGAGCUCGGCUUUCACGCCGCAGGGUUCGGGCUACGCCAACGCCCUGGGCCACCAUCACCACCACCAUCACCAUCAUCACCACACCAGCCAGGUGCCCAGCUACGGUGGCGCUGCCUCUGCCGCCUUCAACUCAACGCGCGACUUUCUGUUCCGCCAGCGCAGCUCCGGGCUCAGUGAGGCGGCCUCGGGUGGCGGGCAGCACGGGCUCUUCGCCGGCUCGGCGAGCAGCCUGCAUGCUCCAGCUGGCAUCCCCGAGCCCCCUAGCUACUUGCUGUUUCCCGGGCUGCAUGAGCAGGGCGCUGGGCACCCGUCGCCCACAGGGCACGUGGACAACAACCAGGUCCACCUGGGGCUGCGUGGGGAGCUGUUCGGCCGUGCUGACCCAUACCGCCCAGUGGCCAGCCCGCGCACGGACCCCUACGCGGCCGGCGCUCAGUUUCCUAACUACAGCCCCAUGAACAUGAACAUGGGCGUGAACGUGGCGGCCCACCACGGGCCCGGCGCCUUCUUCCGUUACAUGCGGCAGCCCAUCAAGCAGGAGCUGUCGUGCAAGUGGAUCGACGAGGCUCAGCUGAGCCGGCCCAAGAAGAGCUGCGACCGGACCUUCAGCACCAUGCAUGAGCUGGUGACACAUGUCACCAUGGAGCAUGUGGGGGGCCCGGAGCAGAACAACCACGUCUGCUACUGGGAGGAGUGCCCCCGGGAGGGCAAGUCUUUCAAGGCGAAGUACAAACUGGUCAACCACAUCCGAGUGCACACGGGCGAGAAGCCCUUCCCAUGCCCCUUCCCGGGCUGCGGGAAGAUCUUUGCCCGUUCUGAGAACCUCAAGAUCCACAAGAGGACCCACACAGGUGAGAAACCUUUCAAAUGUGAAUUUGAAGGCUGUGACAGACGCUUUGCCAACAGCAGCGACCGUAAGAAGCACAUGCAUGUGCAUACCUCGGACAAGCCCUAUAUCUGCAAAGUGUGCGACAAGUCCUACACGCACCCGAGCUCCCUGCGCAAACACAUGAAGGUUCAUGAAUCUCAAGGGUCAGAUUCCUCCCCUGCUGCCAGUUCAGGCUAUGAAUCUUCCACUCCACCCGCUAUAGCUUCUGCAAACAGUAAAGAUACCACUAAAACCCCUUCUGCAGUUCAAACUAGCACCAGCCACAACCCUGGACUUCCUCCUAAUUUUAACGAAUGGUACGUCUGAGGACAAACACAAACCCUGUUAACUAUAGAAUGGACCAAAUGCAUUUUUAAAAGAAAACUGAGACCAAUCAGAUGGAAAUGGAGUUUUAAGGCAAGAGGCCAUAUAUAGGGCUACAUCUUGUUAAUUGCAAUUUUCCAGGAAGGUUUUGGGCAAGAUCCAAAAGUAGCCAUGCCCUUUUCUCAGGAUAGAAAAUAUGUUUUGGCAUUUGAAGCAUUUUUUACAAAAUCUUUACACUACUUUUUCUUCCCCUUCCUCUUGCUCUCUGCACACCCCAUUCUUAAACUCCUCCAAUUCAUUUUAACACUUGUCCUAUUUCUUGAGAGGAAGUUAUAGAAGGCUUGUUGGUGGUGGUGAUGUUAAACUGAUGGAAAUUCUUUUUCGCCUUAGUGGUGAUUGUUUAAACUCUCACAGUCUUAAACCGUGCCAAAGUCCUGUUAUGUCUUGAACUUUUCCUCAAAGCAUUACACUUGUGAAUGUAUUUUUGUCUAAUAGGGUCGAAACUGUUGUUCAGUAUUUUUUCAGGCUGAGGAUGUGAUGUUACUCUACACAUUGUGACGUUUAGUAUACAGUUGCCUUUUGUAAUAACUUUUUUUUUUGUAAAUACAUAUCCAUUGAUGCCAUAUUUAUCGUUUGUAAUUUAAUUAUUGCUACAAGUGCCGGGAACUGAACAAUAUUUAUGGAUAAAUGUUUUCUAACAAAUUCUGUACAGCUUUUGAUUAUAACUGCUUUAGCAUUAAAAAUUUAUUGUUUUGAAAGAAGAACACAAUUUACAAUUUUGGAACCACUGACUCCUUUCUCUUGUUUUGUAACAGCCUUCUUCUACAAAGAGGAGAUGUGAGCAAAUUAAAUCUUGUUUGUUGGUAUUUAUAACUCACUCAGAUCCCUUUUUUAAUUGUUAAAUUAUUUUUCUAUUACAGUAUAAAUUCCUUACAGUGUCAGUUUCCAUCUGGGAAGACUCUCCUUUCUUUAUCUCUAUCUCAGAUGGUUGUUUAACUGCGAGUUUAAAUGUGUUUGUCCUGGAUUUUCGGCAUGCAAAUCAAAUAUUACUGAUCAAUUCAGUUAGUGGCCAUGACAUCUCAAUCUUGUACUUCAAAGACUGAGAAGCUGGAUUUAAUCAUCCCUGCCCUACAUAUAUAAACAUAAGGUAACCUACUGAAUUUUAUGUCCCUUAGUUCUUUAUUACCUUACAUAAAAAUGAAAAUUGCGGCAGGAUGCAUGUCUGUCUGUUCUAUCUAGAGAUCACCCAUAUACCUAUAUAUGUUUGUAUCUAUGACUUAUCUAAUCUGCCUAUCAAUCUAUCUAGUAGCUAUCUAUAUAUUUUCAAAAGAUAGCUUAUGUCUAAAACAGUGGUGAUGAGUAAGGCCAGUUGAGCAUUGCUUACUUAUGGUUAAAGUGCUUCUUAAAAGAACCAUAGUCCAUUUACAAUUUUGGAAGGCAAAGGCUGAUUUGUUUGCUGUAUAUAGUUCAAUUCAUAAUUAUCGCAAUUAUCCAUAACAUUUAUAUAGCGGUGUAAUAACUGCAGCAGUUCUGAAAUGAUGCUAUGGGAAAAAAAUUGCAAAAUAUGUAUUUUUAAAGUUCAUGAUUUGUAGGCAAAGAUGUUAAGAGCAUUGUUUCCAUUAAAAUCAAUAACAAUGAAAAACGGUUGUUUGCUUUGUGAUAAAAUGUUAACAAUCCAUUUAAUCUUCAGUGAAGCAACUCAUUUGGACAAACAGUUCUUUUACAAUGGUUAUAUGGAAAAGAAAUUGAUUGCUAUUUUGGGGGGCUGGAGUGGGUAGAGUAUUGAGACCUUUUUUAUUAGGGUGCUGUUUGUUAUUGAGAGCCCAAUCUCUGCAUGAAUAACAGAAAGGUGGACAUAAGGAAUUGUAAAGUAUUUAGAAUGUAUUGAAUAGGCUUAAGUACCUCCUUUAAGGGGCAAUGCUCUAGGUUUUUGGUGGCAGUCAAUUUGGUAUUAUAUAUGAUCAUUUUCAAUUCUAGAAUUUUGUUUAUUGUUCUUUUUGAAGAAAUAAAGUCUUGGCACAUCUUAUUUAUGUUAUAACAUUUUUGUAUUUGGUGCCUGAUUUUUUUUCAUGUUCAAAUAAAUCAAUCUAAAAUUGAAAUGCUUACAGAACUUCUGAUGAUUAAAAGAAACUUUGAUUCUGUGAAUGCAGUUGAAGCAGUCUAUUUAAGUUAUCUACUGAUCUUUGUCAACAGACAAUUAGUUAUUGACAGUUUCUAAUUGCAAAUUGCUUUGGAGGCUAUUUUUUGUUAGUGGAGAAUAAUGGGGUCUUUUGCAUUUUCUUCCACCAAUAUCCAAGCCUGAAUGCCAUGAACAGAGAUUGGGAUGACUACACAUGUGAUGAGCAGGUAACCUGGUCAGUCUAUCACUCCCAACCCAGACAUUCCGAUCUUGACCUUGACAUUGAGGGUGCUGGACCAGAUUCCUAUUUCAGGCUUUUUCCUUCACCUCAAACCAGAGACCAUUUUAAAUGCUCAGCAAGUUCUCAGAAAGUAUAUAUUCAUAAGACUGGCUCUAAGUGUGUUCCAUUGUGAAAUCUAAAUAGUGUAUUUUUCUUCUGAACUGUACAAUGAACUUCCAUAAUUUACCACUUUCUCCACGAGUUCCCUCCCCCACCCUCAAUCUAACCUAACUUUACAUGGAAGUAGAGCCAUGGGUUGGAUACAGGAUUCAACCAAAAACAUGCCUCCCUUUCAAUUAAAUGUAUUAAAUAUCUCCUCAUGAGACAAAGAGCAGUUUGAUCUUUUCUUAGUUACCUGAAAUUAUUCUACCGUAAAAUUUUACAGGAAAGUACUUGAGGGUCCUAAGAGGGGAAGAUAUCAAUUAAAUGAAAAACAAUUAUGAUAACCAAUAUUAGGAGAAUAUAAAAGUUUUGCCCCUGUACAUGAUUACCUCUAAUUUGGGUGUAGCAUGGUAUUUCUCAAAAUCAUGUCCUCCACCCUUGUCAUCUGUGGUAAAGAAAACUCCUUAUUUUGAUAGAAAGCUUUUCACAGAUUUCCCCCCUAUAAUCUGGCUCUGGGAGUGCACAUUUACACUCUUGAAUAUUCAGUAAACAACCUUAGAGAGUAAGUACCCCCCACAAAAAAAAAAAAAAAAAAUCAUCAAUGCUCAAGCCCGAGGCAUGGGCCAGGCUCUUAGUAAUCAACUUGUUACUUUCCCUCUUGCACCUUGUAAGAUCUUUGUUCAAAGUCCCUUUUUCAAAAUGAGUGAUUUUGCAUAAGAUUCCCACUGUUAGGCAAAAGGGAGGUGGCUAUUUCCACGCAAGACAGAAGUUUGGCCUUCAUCCAGCUUUAGAAGGUUAAAGAUCAGGACAGGGUCCACGCUAAGCAGGCCGGUCGAUCUAAAUUACUAAAGUUGGACAUGAGUGAGCAAAGACCUCCGCUCACAAAGCAUCCCAGGAAAGUUGGAGUGUUCAGGACUUCCUCGCUCCUCCCCCUUCUCCCUUCUCCCCGCCUGAUGUCUCUGCCUCUUCGCCCUGGCUCUCUCUCCCCCUUCUUAAAAAAACUCCCUAAAACAGAGGAGCAAAGUCGAAGGGCCUCUUAACAUGUAAGUUUGUGGAAGAAUCGCCAGCAGCGUGCCCAUCGCCUGAAAAGAGAGGUUAUCUUGGCACCUAGACUGCUUUCCUCUCACAGGUUUCUGUCCCUCGAGUCCCAAGCCUCCAGUGGAUCCUUGGCCGGGGCCGGGGCGGAGGCGGCGAGGCCAGGCGUUUCGGAAGUCGGGGCUCCAGCUCAGCUGUCCUCGGGCCCCUCGUCGGGGCUCCCAGGGUCCCUGUCCACACACCAAGUUCUUGCAAGUCUCUGUCGAGGCUCGGGCGGGGGGGGGGAAGGGACCUCAUUUCCUAGGGUCAAUUCUCUCGCGGUCUCUGCCCGCUGACCCUUUGACCUCCACCUACAGGGCCCUUGGCGGCCGUAAGCCGGCGGUCGCCCGGGCUCCGAGGACGCUUCGCGCCCCAUCGCCUCCCGGCCUCAUUAGGCCGGCGGGGCUGUAAAGCAGGAAUCAGCCUCUGCCUAAUCCGGACCUGGGGUCAAUACGAGCCCAAACAAUGUGUUGUCCUGCUUGGUAUCCGGGACAGUCUCUAAUUCCUGACGAAGAACUUGAUACUGACGUUGGUAUGCAGCAGCCAGCCCUCCAUAAC